rnacentral:rRNA from 1 species
CCUACGGGAGGCAGCAGUGGGGAAUUUUGGACAAUGGGCGCAAGCCUGAUCCAGCAAUGCCGCGUGAGUGAAGAAGGCCUUCGGGUUGUAAAGCUCUUUUGUCAGGGAAGAAACGGUGGAGGCUAAUAUCCUUUGCUAAUGACGGUACCUGAAGAAUAAGCACCGGCUAACUACGUGCCAGCAGCCGCGGUAAUACGUAGGGUGCAAGCGUUAAUCGGAAUUACUGGGCGUAAAGCGUGCGCAGGCGGUUUUGUAAGUUUGUCGUGAAAUCCCCGGGCUCAACCUGGGAAUGGCGAUGAAGACUGCAAGGCUAGAAUCUGGCAGAGGGGGGUAGAAUUCCACGUGUAGCAGUGAAAUGCGUAGAGAUGUGGAGGAACACCGAUGGCGAAGGCAGCCCCCUGGGUCAAGAUUGACGCUCAUGCACGAAAGCGUGGGGAGCAAAACGAGGUAUUAGAUACCCGUGGUACGUCCACGACCCUAAACGAUGUCUACUAGUUGUACGGUUUUAAUUACGUUGGUAACGNAGCUAACGCGUAGAAGUAGACCGCGUGGGGAAGUCGGUCGCAAGUAUUAAAACCGUCAAACGUAGAAGUUAGUACGGACGUGAGACGUACGCCGACGGACGACGACGAGGGAGGAGG